CAGUAGCCACGGUAAUACGAAGGGUGCAAGCGUUAAUCGGAAUUACUGGGCGUAAAGCGUGCGUAGGCGGUGAGUUAAGUCUGCUGUGAAAUCCCCGGGCUCAACCUGGGAAUGGCAAUGGAUACUGGCAAGCUAGAGUGUGUCAGAGGAUGGUGGAAUUCCCGGUGUAGCGGUGAAAUGCGUAGAGAUCGGGAGGAACAUCAGUGGCGAAGGCGGCCAUCUGGGACAACACUGACGCUGAGGCACGAAAGCGUGGGGAGCAAACAGGAUUAGAUACCCCAGUAGUCCCUGUCUCUUAUAC
rnacentral:rRNA from 1 species